AGCAUGAUGGCAGCAUCUGAGGUAGCUGGCGUGGUGGCCACUGCUCCGAAUCCUGCGGAAUCCUCUUCUAGUGUUUGUGCUUCCAAAACAGAUGAAGGUCCCCCAGAUGGUCUAAGCCCCAAAGACCCUGCACAGAAGCAUAAGAACUCGCCUCUGUCGAGUGUAAGUAACCAAACGAUAACCAAGGAGAAUAACAGAAAUGCCCAUUUGGAACACCCAGAGCAGAAUCCUGGCUCAUCAGCAGGUGACACUUCAGCAGCGCACCGGGCGGUUUUAGGAGAAAACUUGAUAGCCACGGCCCUUGGUCUGUCUGGCGGUGGGUCCCAGUCUGAUCUGAAGGACGUGGCCAGCACGGCAGGAGAGGAGGGGGACACGUGCCUUCAGGAGAGCCUCCACCCCGCCACUCGGUCUCUUAAGGCAGGGUGCCAUACAAAGCAGCUUGCCUCCGGGAAUUGUCCUGAAGAGAAGGCCCCACAAGCCUCCAUCCUAAAGGAAGGGAGCAGGGACCCAGGCUUGGAGUUCCCACCUGUGGUGCCUCCAGCAAAUGGGGUUGAAGGAGUCAGAGUGGAUCAGGAUGAUGAUCAGGAUAGCUCUUCCCUGAAGCUUUCUCAGAACAUUGCUGUCCAGACUGACUUUAAGACAACUGAUUCAGAGGUAAACACAGAUCAAGAUAUUGAAAAGAAUCUGGAUAAAAUGAUGACAGAGAGAACCCUGUUGAAGGAGCGUUACCAGGAGGUCUUGGACAAGCAGAGGCAAGUGGAGAAUCAGCUCCAAGUGCAAUUAAAGCAACUACAGCAAAGGAGAGAAGAAGAAAUGAAGAAUCACCAGGAGAUAUUAAAGGCUAUCCAAGACGUAACAAUAAAGCGAGAAGAAACGAAGAAGAAAAUAGAGAAAGAAAAGAAGGAAUUUCUGCAGAAGGAGCAGGAUCUAAAAGCUGAAAUUGAGAAGCUUUGUGAGAAGGGCAGAAGAGAAGUGUGGGAAAUGGAACUGGAUAGACUCAAGAAUCAAGAUGGUGAAAUAAAUCGGAACAUUAUGGAAGAGACAGAACGGGCCUGGAAGGCAGAGAUCUUAUCAUUAGAGAGUCGAAAAGAGCUGCUGGUAUUGAAACUAGAAGAAGCAGAAAAAGAGGCAGAGCUACACCUUACUUACCUCAAGUCAACUCCCCCAACACUAGAGACAGUUCGUUCCAAACAGGAGUGGGAGACAAGACUGAAUGGAGUUCGGAUAAUGAAAAAGAAUGUUCGGGACCAAUUUAACAAUCACAUCCAGCUCGUGAGGAAUGGAGCCAAGCUGAGCAGCCUUCCUCAGAUCCCUACCCCCACCCUGCCUCCACCCCCAUCAGAGACAGACUUCAUGCUUCAGGUGUUUCAGCCCAGUCCCUCUCUGGCUCCUCGGAUGCCCUUCUCCAUCGGGCAGGUUACAAUGCCCAUGGUUAUGCCCAGUGCAGAUCCCCGGUCCUUGUCUUUCCCAAUCCUGAACCCUGCCCUUUCCCAGCCCAACCAGCCUUCCCCACCCCUUCCUGGCUCCCAUGGGAGAAGUAGCCCCAGCCUGGGUUCCCUUGUGGGCCCCCAUGGUCCGCACAUGCCCCCUGCCGCCUCCAUCCCGCCUCCCCCAGGCUUGGGUGGUGUUAAGGCUUCUACUGAAACUCCCCGGCCCCAACCAGUAGACAAACUGGAGAAGAUUCUGGAGAAGUUGCUGACUCGGUUCCCACAAUGCAAUAAGGCCCAGAUGACCAACAUUCUUCAGCAAAUCAAGACAGCACGUACGACCAUGGCAGGUCUGACCAUGGAGGAGCUGAUCCAGCUGGUAGCUGCACGACUGGCAGAGCAUGAGCGGGUGGCGGCAAGUGCUCAGCCACUUGGUCGGAUCCGGGCCCUGUACCCUGCUCCACUGGCCCAAAUCAGUACCCCAAUGUUCUUGCCUUCUGCCCAAGUUUCAUAUCCUGGGAGGUCUUCACAUGCUCCAGCCACCUGUAAACUGUGUCUAAUGUGCCAGAAACUCGUCCAGCCCAGCGAGCUGCAUCCGAUGGCAUGUACCCACGUGCUGCACAAGGAGUGUUGAUGCUCAUCAUUAAUAUCUAAACAUAAGGUUUUCAGUAAAUCGUGGCUUAAAACAUCAGCAGAGUUCAGAAUACCAGCAGCUAGGCUCUCCCAGCUUCCUUCUACCCCAUUCCCUGGAGGGGACUGGACUGGAUAAACAGUUCAUACUAGAAUACUGAGAAUCACUGUCUUGGAAAAUUGACAAAAAGAUUGUAUCAAAUUCUGGGCCCAGACCAACACAAAUGACACUUGUCCCUUUUGUCCAACUCUUAAAUGACGGACCUGACUGGGGAGGAUGAAGAGGAGAAACUGAUGUGAACAGGAUGCGCGGGUUCCAGAUUUCUAAAACUCUAUAUUUAUACAGUGACAUAUACUCAUGCCAUGUACAUUUUUAUUAUAUAGGUAAUGUGUGUAUAGAAAGUCUGUAUUCAAAUGUUCGUAAAUGAAAGUAUGUAUAUUAUGCAGAAAUGGUCUGUCCCCCUCACCUUGCAGUUCCUCUGGGGGAAGCAGGUUGUAGGUAAGGUGAUGUUUCAUUUGGCCUUGAAAUUAACGAUAUUCCUGCCUAGGGCUGUUUUCAGAUACAUGUAAAAACCAGCUAGGAAGCUGCUCUUGCUGUACGGUCACCCUGCUUUGGUUUGGCUCAGCCUCUAGUCCAUUUUCUUAAGGCUCCUGUAUGCAGAUUUGAACCCUGGUGCUCACCUGCUGUUCAGCCAGAUGCCUUGCUCACUGAAAGCCUCCAGAAGCCUCAGUGCUGUUCAGCCCCUCUCCUCCAAGUGGAGAAGAUGAGAUUGAUUGAGGAAAACAAGAUGUAACCCUGA